CUUUAUGGCAGCUGUGCGUGGGAGAUCUUAGGAUCUGCCGGGUUUCUUGAGGUUUCCGGUUCGCCAACCCGCGCACAGCGGCCACCCGC
rnacentral:antisense_RNA from 1 species